ACGUAAUAGAUACCCAGGUAGUCCACGCCCUAAACGAUGUCUACUAGUUGUUGGUGGAGUAAAAUCCAUGAGUAAACGCAGCUAAACGCGUGAAGUAGACCGCCUGGGGAGUACGGUCGCAAGAUUAAAACUCAAAGGAAUUGACGGGGCCCGGCACAAGCGGUGGAUUAUGUGGAUUAAAUUCGAUGCAACGCGAAAAACCCUUAACCUGGCCUUGACAUGCCACUAACGAAGCAGAGAUGCAUUAGGUGCCCGUAACGGGAAAGUGGACACAGGUGCUGCAUGGCUGUCGUCAGCUCGUGUCGUGAGAUGUUGGGUUAAGUCCCGCAACGAGCGCAACCCUUGCCAUUAA
rnacentral:rRNA from 1 species